rnacentral:sRNA from 12 species
AAAGCCCUGCAAGCUGCGAAGUCCCAAGUUCCACUUGGGAUACGAAACUAAAGAAAUUUUCAUAGCAGCUGUGGGGUUUU